GCCAGCAUUGUGUAGUGGUUUGAGUGUUGGACUAUAACUCUGGAGUCCAGGGUUCAAAUCCCUGCUCAGUCA